CCAGCGACUGGGACCGCGGAGGGGCGGGCCUCAGGCGAGACGAAGGCUCUCGGGGGCGGGCCCGACUUGGCCCCGUCUCCUCCCGUAGGGAGUGCGGGAUCCGCGAGACGUGGCAGCGCCAAGGCCAGGAGGGUGGGGGCAUCAUCCUGGAGUCUCGCGGAGGACCUAGACGGCUUCAAAUCCGGCCGAGUGCGUUCCCAGACGCUGGGGGAAAAUCAGAAGUGGCGACCAGCAGAUAAGAAAACUGAGUCAAAUGGAAAGAUGAAUGAUGCUUUUGGAUGGGAAGACUCAGUAUCAUAAAGAUCUCAAUUUUCUGUUAUGAGACAAACACCCCGUUUACUUGAGUUUUAAAAGGGUAUUUCCUUUGCCCCACUUGAAUGACCAAUAAAGACAAGUCCAGUUGGCAAAGUGAAA